rnacentral:rRNA from 1 species
AUGGCCAUCAGCCUGCUCUUCUCUCUUCUGCUCCGCCUCCUCGCCGUGCAAGCGGCUUCACACGGCAGCGUCGGCAACGGCAACGACGACGAUGACAGCGCCCUGAUGACGUCCUGCCUCGCGGCCGCCGGCGUGCGCAACGUCACCACACGCCGCUCGCCCGCGUACGCCGCCGCGCUGGCCUUCUCCGUCCAGAACCUCCGGUUCGCGGCAGCCUGUGCGCACCACGGUCCGGCUGCCGUCGUCGUCCCGGCGUCCCUGGCCGAGCUGCGCGCGGCCGUGCUGUGCGCCCGGGAGGCGAGGCUCGUAGUGCGCCUCCGCAGCGGCGGCCACAGCUACGAAGGCCUCUCCUACACCACGGACGACGCCGGCGGCUUCGUCGUCAUCGACCUCGUGGCGCUGGACCGCGUUCGGGUCGACGCCGGAGCGCGCACGGCGUGGGUACAGUCCGGCGCGACGCUCGGGCAGGUAUACCACGCGGUGGUCGCGUCCAACAAGACCCUGGCGUUCUCUGCAGGGUCAUGCCCCACGGUCGGCUCCGGAGGCCACAUCGCCGGUGGCGGGUUCGGGCUGCUGUCCCGCAAGUACGGGCUCGCGGCGGACAACGUGAUCGACGCCCUGCUGGUCGACGCCGACGGGCGCGUGCUGGACCGCGAUGGCAUGGGCGAGGAGGUCUUCUGGGCGAUCCGCGGCGGCGGUGGCGGCACCUGGGGCGCCGUCUACGCGUGGCGCAUCAAGCUCAGCCCUGUCCCGGAGCGCGUCACCGUGUUCGUUGUCAACCGGCCGGGCACCGUGGAGUCGGUGGCGCGGCUCGUGUCAACAUGGCAGCACGUCGCGCCGUGGCUUCCCGACGAGUUCUACCUUUCGGCGUUCGUCGGAGCCGGCUUGCCGGAGUCUGACCGGACCGGCAUCUCCGUCACCUUUAAAGGGUUCUACCUCGGCCGGAGCCACGAAGCGUUGGAGAUACUCUCCGCACGGUUCCCUGAGAUCGGGCUGUCGGACCUGAACCCGAGAGAGAUGAGCUGGAUCGACUCCGUGGUCUUCUUCUCCGGCCUGCCGAAAGGGAGCACCACGUCGGACCUGACGGACCGGGUGCUCCACGAUAAGAACUACUUCAAGGCCAAGUCGGACUUCGUGCGUCGGCCGACGCCCUUCGGCGAGCUGGAGGGAGCCAUCAGUUUCCUUUCCAAGCAGCCCAAGGCCUACGUCAUCCUGGACCCGUACGGCGGGGCCAUGGACCGGAUCGCGGCCGGCGACCUGCCGUUCCCGCAUCGCAAAGGAAACAUCCACGGGAUCCAGCAUCUCAUAGCCUGGACGGCCGACGACGACGACCACAGGGAGGAGUACAUGGACUGGCUACGCCGGUUCUACGACUUCAUGGGAGCCUACGUGUCCAACGGCCCACGCACCGCCUACAUAAACUACCUAGACCUUGAUCUAGGCACCAACAACAAUCCGUCUCCUGCUCACCCUCAUCCUAUCAUAGGUGACGACGGCAGCCCUUUUUACUCGGAAGUCGAGGCGUCGAGGACGUGGGGCGAGAGGUACUUCCUCAGCAACUACGACCGUCUCGUCCGUGCCAAGACCACCAUCGACCCGGAGAACGUGUUCCGCAAUGCCCAGAGCAUUCCGCCCCUCUUCGUGGGGGCUCUGCAGAUGACCAGGCGUACUGCACAUGACAUCUAG